AUGCCAGGAGGAGAUGAGCCAGUGUUGGGAGGUUGGGAGGCGUUUGCAGGUGCAGGCAGAGGGUUCGCGGGUAGGGUAGGCAUGGGACGGAACGGUGGUGCUGCUGGGCGAGCGAUCGGAGGUGGGGGAGGGAAUGGUGUUGGAGCCAGGGGAGCUGCAGCCGUGGGUGCAGGCGUAGGAGGACAGUUCCAGUUCCAAGUAGGAGGGAACGGUGGCGGAGGCGGAGGAGCGUUUGUAGGCGCAGCAGCCGUACGACAGUUCCCGGUGGGCGGGUACGGCGGCGGAGCUAGGGCAGCGGCAGGCGGAGGAGCGUUUGUAGGCGCGGGCGGACGACAAUUCCCGGUGGGCGGGUACGGUGGCGGAGCUAGGGCAGCGGCAGGCGGAGGAGCUUUUGUAGGCGCGGGCGGACGACAGUUCCCGGCGGGAGGAAACGGUGGUGGAGGCAGGGGAGCGUAUGGAGGUGCCGCCGGAGGACCGAUCCCAGCGGGAUGGUUGUACGGUGGUGGAGUCCCGGGAGCUGCAGUCUUGGGAGAGUUUCGAGGGUUCAGAAGGAACGACGAUGUUCUGUCAGAUGAUCUACCGUGGCAUUAUGAAAGGCCCGGAGAAUUUUGGCGACGUCGGCUGCUGGAGUCCACCACUCAGGCGACGACUGGGUCUGGGACCGGCAGCAGACCAACCUCUACUACGACGAAUUCACAAUCUUUUUCUGCAGCUCAGGCGACGAAUUCGCAAUCUUUUUCUGCAGCUCAGGCGACGAAUUCACAAUCACAAACAAGCGCGAAUUAUGACAGCAUGCACCCCCAUAGGCAGCUGGGAUCCCAAACUUCACAAUGGAGUCAACAGGCACAGCACCACCCCAGCCCACCUCCGCAGCAGCAGACACCACGGCGUCGACAACGUGACAACCAUGUCGUGAACCGGGAGCUAAAUGUUGCGCGUGGCCGACGAUAA
rnacentral:rRNA from 1 species